CCUACGGGAGGCAGCAGUGGGGAAUAUUGGACAAUGGGGGGAACCCUGAUCCAGCCAUGCCGCGUGUGUGAAGAAGGCCCUCGGGUUGUAAAGCACUUUCAGUGAGGAAGAACGCCUGGUGGUUAAUACCCAUCAGGAAAGACAUCACUCACAGAAGAAGCACCGGCUAACUCCGUGCCAGCAGCCGCGGUAAUACGGAGGGUGCGAGCGUUAAUCGGAAUUACUGGGCGUAAAGCGCGCGUAGGUGGCUUGAUAAGCCGGUUGUGAAAGCCCCGGGCUCAACCUGGGAACGGCAUCCGGAACUGUCAAGCUAGAGUGCAGGAGAGGAAGGUAGAAGUCCCGGUGUAGCGGUGAAAUGCGUAGAGAUCGGGAGGAAUACCAGUGGCGAAGGCGGCCUUCUGGACUGACACUGACACUGAGGUGCGAAAGCGUGGGUAGCAAACAGGAUUAGAUACCCCGGUAGUC
rnacentral:rRNA from 1 species